UACGUAGGGUCCGAGCGUUAAUCGGAAUUACUGGGCGUAAAGCGUGCGUAGGCGGUCUGGCAAGUUUGGAGUGACAGUGCUCGGCUUAACUGAGCAAGGCCUUCGAAAACUGCUAGACUUGAGCACUCAAGAGGGACAUAGAAUUCCGGGUGGAGUGGUGAAAUGCGUAGAUAUCCGGAGGAAUACCAAAGGCGAAGGCAGUGUCCUGGGGAGUGUCUGACGCUCAGGCGCGAAAGCUAGGGGAGCGAACAGG
rnacentral:rRNA from 1 species